GACGAACGCUGGCGGCGUGCCUAAUACAUGCAAGUCGAGCGGACAGAAGGGAGCUUGCUCCCGGAUGUUAGCGGCGGACGGGUGAGUAACACGUGGGUAACCUGCCUGUAAGACUGGGAUAACUCCGGGAAACCGGAGCUAAUACCGGAUAGUUCCUUGAACCGCAUGGUUCAAGGAUGAAAGACGGUUUCGGCUGUCACUUACAGAUGGACCCGCGGCGCAUUAACUAGUUGGUGAGGUAACGGCUCACCAAGGCGACGAUGCGUAGCCGACCUGAGAGGGUGAUCGGCCAAACUGGGACUGAGACACGGCCCAGACUCCUACGGGAGGCAGCAGUAGGGAAUCUUCCGCAAUGGACGAAAGUCUGACGGAGCAACGCCGCGUGAGUGAUGAAGGUUUUCGGAUCGUAAAACUCCGUUGGUAAAGAAGAACAAGGGUGAGAGUAAAAAGUUCACCCCUUGACGGUAUUUACCCAGAAAGCCACGGCUAACUACGUGCCAGCCGCCGCAGUAAAAC
rnacentral:rRNA from 1 species